rnacentral:rRNA from 1 species
CAAUAGCGUAUAUUAAAGUUGUUGCGGUAAAAAAGCUCGUAGUUGGAUUUCUACCGAAGAUAGCCGGUCGGGUCUUCGACCUUGUAUCUGGUUUUGUCUUUGGUAUCCUCAUAGGGAACGUUUCUGCGCUUUAUUGCGUGGUGCGGUAUCUAUGACUUUUACUUUGGGGAAAUUAGAGUGUUCACGGCAGGCAAAUGCCUUGAAUAUAUUAGCAUGGAAUAAUAACAUAGGAUCUUCGUCCUAUUUUGUUGGUUUCUAGGGCUAAGAUAAUGAUUAAUAGGGAUAAUUGGGGGCAUCUGUAUCAACGCGUCAGAGGUGGAAUUCUUGGAUUGCGUUGCGACAAACUACUGCGAAAGCAUUUGCCAAGGAUGUUUUCAUUGA